AUUUUUGGGGUGGCCCAGGUGGAUUUGGAGGUGCCAAGGUGAAUCCCCUGUGGAUUCUGAGCUGCUCCAGGUGAAUUUUGAGGCACCCAGGUGGAUUCCAAACUCCUUCUAUAAAUUCUGAGCUGCUCCCAACAGAUUUUUGAGGUGCUCCUGGUGCAUUUUGAAGCACCUCAAAUGGAUUUUGGGGUGCUCCAGGUGGAUUCUGAGCUGCUCCCAACAGAUUUUGGGGUUCCAGGUGGAUUUUAAGGCACCCCCAGGAAACGCUGCUCUCUCCGGGCUCCACUCUGGGAUCAUCCAGGUGCAUCCACAGCAGCAGGAAACGCUGCUCUCUCCGGGCUCCACUCUGGGAUCAUCCAGGUGUAUCCACAGCAGCUCCAUGGCAGGUUUUGGGUGUCCCUGGCAGAUUUUGGAGUAUUCCUGCCAGAUUUUGGGGUAUUCCUGCCAGAUUUUGGGGUAUUCCUGGCAGAUUUUGGAGUAUUCCUGGCAGAUUUGGGGGUAUUCCU
rnacentral:lncRNA from 12 species